rnacentral:rRNA from 1 species
UACAGGGGGGGCAAGCGUUGUUCGGAAUUACUGGGCGUAAAGGGCUCGUAGGUGGCCAACUAAGUCACACGUGAAAUCCCUCGGCUUAACCGGGGAACUGCGUGUGAUACUGGAUGGCUUGAGUUUGGGAGAGGGAUGCGGAAUUCCUGGUGUAGCGGUGAAAUGCGCAGAUAUCAGGAGGAACACCGGUGGCGAAGGCGGGUCUCUGGGCAACAACUGACGCUGAGGAGCGAAAGCGUGGGGAGCGAACAGG